AUCAUUCCAAUUAUGGUAGCAAAACUCACAAGACAGAAAAUAAUCCCCAAGUUACUGAUCCUCUACAAAUGAAUGGUGUUAUCAAACUCCGACAGAUACUGAUUGAAUGCAUCUGGAUUUCCAGUUUCUAUUAAAUCCAUUCCCAUCUUGUCCAAAGCCUCAAUAGAUUUGUGUACAGAAAAGAGAGAGUGAAUUGUUAGGAAGAGCUAACCUUUACGUUGUUGAUAAACGUGAGUCGCUAAAACCCCAGCUUGAUGUAUUUGCAGACACGCCAGACCCGCCAGGAACCAAUAAAAAAAACGCCAUUCAAGUUUUCCAAAAAUGGGCCGCCUAGGCGGGCUAGGCGGUCCUUUUUUAAAAAAAGAAAAAAAACCCAGUACAGC
rnacentral:lncRNA from 1 species